GGCCAGUUAGCUCAGCUGGUUAGAGCGUGGUGCUCUUAACCACAAGGUUGUCGGUUCGAUCCCCACAUGGGUCA